CUUCCUCUUCUUCUUUCACUUUCAGUUGCAGUUUCUUUGCUUCUAAUAGUUUCAGGGAGCAAAGAGCAAGCCAGACAACAAGUGCUGCAACCUAUUUCUUUUCUAGAUAAUGCGUACAGACUACUAAUAAGGCUUCUUCUCCAUCGAAUGUGAAGAUUGUCCGCAACAGGUUUGAGGAUCAAGGUGACAGGUCAAAAUGUGCUUCCAAUAGCGAGUGAAUUUCCAAUAGGGAAGACACCUUGAAAUCUGGUUUGAAAUCGACGUUGGCAUAUUCUGGAGAGUCAUACUUCCCACUUUCAUCAAGCAAGCAUGCAACAGCUCCUGCUCGCUUCCCACAAGCCAC
rnacentral:lncRNA from 1 species